UCCUCCAGUCUCCAGAGCCAGGCUCCAUAUCCAACAGCUGACCUAUGAGUUCCUCCAGUCUCCAGAGCCAGGCUCCACAUCCAACAGCUGACCUAUGAGUUCCUCCAGUCUCCAGAGCCAGGCUCCACAUCAACAGCUAACCUAUGAGUCCUCCAGUCUCCAGAGCCAGGCUCCACAUCCAACAGCUGACCUAUGAGUUCCUCCAGUUCCAGAGCCAGGCUCCACAUCCAACAGCUGACCUAUGAGUUCCUCCAGUCUCCAGAGCCAGGCUCCACAUCCAACAGCUGACCUAUGAGUUCCUCCAGUCUCCAGAGCCCGGCUCCACAUCCAACAGCUGACCUAUGAGUUCCUCCGUCUCCAGAGCCAGGCUCCACAUCCAACAGCUGACCUAUGAGUUCCUCCAGUCUCCAGAGCCAGGCUCCACAUCCAACAGCUGACCUAUGAGUUCCUCCAGUCUCCAGAGCCAGGCUCCACAUCCAACAGCUAACCCACACACUGGCAAGUUACCUCUAACUGGGGUAGCUCUGGUCCAAUACAGUAUCACUAUUUAUGAUACUCAACUUUCCAAGGCAAAAAAGGAAACAAAACUGUUUUAACUCUUUAAAAACUGCUUUAUCUAAAAUAUUGUUUUCUGUAGCUUGAAAAACAAACAAAUGUGUCUCUGGUGUAUCCAACAUUCCGACUUCUGAGUAUUGCGAUACUGUUAUUGAGAAACUACUAGGGAGAUGGUAGAAGAUGCCUCUAACUACUGGUCUGGGGUCAGACAUUGUUUGAGGGUAAUCUGAUCUAGAUCUGUGGCUUAGAGGAAACUUCUACUCAGAGCUGAACUGACGUCCUGUAUUUAACCACCACUGGUUGUUUUGUUGUCUGACUCUGUGCUCUCAACACACCGGGACAACGAGAGAGAACCUCCGACAUGUUGUGGAAGGUCAUCAUGAUUGUACCGAUUAUUUGUAUGUGUGCUAUACUUAUGAGAAUAAAGUCGCCACAGGUUGUGUUUUUACACAGUACUGUGUCAUCAGGUUGUGUUUUUACACCGUACUGUGUCAUCAGGUUGUGUUUUUACACAGUACUGUGUCAUCGGGUUGUGUUUUUACACCGUACUGUGUCAUCGGGUUGUGUUUUUACACAGCACUGUGUCAUCGG
rnacentral:lncRNA from 1 species